GAGAAUUUUGAGCUUGACCUAGCUAGCGUGUGAAAAGAGUGGAAUUGUGCAGUACUUUGAACAUUCUUUGGCAUCACCUUUCUUAAGGAUUGGAAUGAAAACUGACCUUUCCCAGUCCUGUGGCCACUGCUGAGUUUUCCAUAUUUGCUG